GGUCCUGUUCUAUCCUAAAGAGAGAGUAAAAGAGUAAGAUCAAUAGGAGAAGGGGAGAGCAUCUUUAGUCUUGACUUUUAGUUUCAGAAGAAAGAAGA